rnacentral:rRNA from 1 species
AGUAAUGUCUGGGAAACUGCCUGAUGGAGGGGGAUAACUACUGGAAACGGUGGCUAAUACCGCAUAACGUCGCAAGACCAAAGAGGGGGACCUUCGGGCCUCUUGCCAUCAGAUGUGCCCAGAUGGGAUUAGCUUGUUGGUGAGGUAACGGCUCACCAAGGCGACGAUCCCUAGCUGGUCUGAGAGGAUGACCAGCCACACUGGAACUGAGACACGGUCCAGACUCCUACGGGAGGCAGCAGUGGGGAAUAUUGCACAAUGGGCGCAAGCCUGAUGCAGCCAUGCCGCGUGUAUGAAGAAGGCCUUCGGGUUGUAAAGUACUUUCAGCGGGGAGGAAGGUGUUGUGGUUAAUAACCGCAGCAAUUGACGUUACCCGCAGAAGAAACACCGGCUAACUCCGUGCCAGCAGCCGCGGUAAUACGGAGGGUGCAAGCGUUAAUCGGAAUUACUGGGCGUAAAGCGCACGCAGGCGGUCUGUCAAGUCGGAUGUGAAAUCCCCGGGCUCAACCUGGGAACUGCAUUCGAAACUGGCAGGCUUGAGUCUUGUAGAGGGGGGUAGAAUUCCAGGUGUAGCGGUGAAAUGCGUAGAGAUCUGGAGGAAUACCGGUGGCGAAGGCGGCCCCCUGGACAAAGACUGACGCUCAGGUGCGAAAGCGUGGGGAGCAAACAG